rnacentral:ncRNA from 1 species
GAGAGCCGUGUGAUAGGUGACUAUCCAGCACGGUUCGGAGAGCACUUUUUUUGUAGUCUGCGCUGGUGAAUGGAAGCCCCCCCUAUCAAGCAAGAAAGAAGCGGCUCUUUCCACGGCGGAGUCACCAUUGACUCUAU